UCCACUGCAUCUUAUCCUGAAUCUCCGUCGAUUAUUUUUUCAAAGAUUUAUUGCAUUUAUGACUGCCUUGCCGGCCAUCAUCCCACUCCCCAUGGCAUCGAUGGAGUCUUGGGGCAAAGUUUAGGUGAUUAUUUGGCAAUGCAAAAUUAGUACGCUCGUCUAACUUGGCUACCAUUGGUGCAUUACUUUCUUUGACAACAUAUUUGGACUUUGCAUGAAUACAGAAGUGAUGGUUGGAGUAAUAGUUGUGGAGAAAUAGAGUUGCAUUUUAGGAUAAUGGGUAAAAUUGGAGCUAUGAUUAGUUGUGGGUUUAAGAAUUGAGAUCUAGAAAAUGCAUUGUUCAUUUACUUCAUUUAAACUGGCAUGUCACUUGUCACAUCCAUGGAAAUAAUUUGCUGAAGAGACAACAAAGUUUAGUUUCAGGUCGUGUCUUCUUUUGUUUCACGGUUGUUUAAACUUUGUGGCGUCGCUGUUCCUGUCGGCCUUCAUUAGGUUGAUGUACUAUUCUCUUCUUAAUAAUAUAUUUAUACACGUAGCAUGUUCAUGGAAAAAAUGAAAUGAGUUUUUGCUACAUUUGAGCAUUGCAUUUUAAAGUAAAGUUUCAGCCAUUAUUUUCUACCAGAAAUUUAGUGAUCUAUAUGCAAACAAUCUCUCUAUUUUUAGUAAUCUUGUGGGACGUCAGAGAACAGAUGACAUGAUCACAUCCCCAGUAAAUGUGUCAAUCAUACUAAACCAUUGACAAUUUCUAAUUUUGGAUAUUGAAAGAAUGAUAUUUUCUCGAGUAAAAUGAGAAUGCUGAUUAAUCCAUUUUCUAUUUCUGAGCUAUCUUGAUAAUUCUUAGCUAUUUUGAUGUUUCGCUUGAUAGCAAUUAUUACUGUCUAAGAAGACUUAAGUGUGGGAGACUGUGGUUUCAAAUCAGAGAAUUGUGUUUCGAGAUUACUAACAUACUACUCCCUCCGUCCGGAAAUACUUGUCAUCAAAAUUAAUAAAAGAGAAUGUAUCUAGAUGUAUUUUAGUUCUAGAUACAUCGUUUUUUAUCCAUUUUGAUGACAAGUAUUUUUGGACGGAGGGAGUAUUUCAUAUGAUUUUUUUUUCUUCAUUUACAUAUAGGCCAAGAUGUUCUCAAUAUGCCGCAUCUGGAACGUCUAGGAAAAGAUUAACCAUCUGAAGACUCGGUUACCUGGUUUUAUUUUAAAUGAAGUUGUGUGUGUGAGGAGAGCAAUAAAUUCGUGCAUGAACUACCUGUGUUGGUAAGAAUUUAGGUGUUCCUAAAAUUGAUUAGAUGAUUGACCCGAUCUUGUUAGUCAGCUGGUUGUAACUAACAUAGUACACUCUUUUGUUUCCAUCGAAAGAUAAAAUAUGCCAGGAAUGAUGUGUUAUCGAUAAUUUUUGGGUUCACUGAACCACGAGCGAGGUGGGAGGAGAGUCAGGCAUAUUAUUCUGGAGUGGCAUAUUUUUGGGUUCACUGAAGCAGGAGCCCAGUCUGAUCGUAGAUGUUCUUAUCCCCUUAGCAGGAGAGGGUAGGAGAGAGAGAGCAAAUCAUAGCUUCUUAACUAUAUGUGCGUUGCACGUGCAUGUUUACUAGUAUUGGUGUUAAACCUACUGUAUUCCAACUUUUUAUGGAUUAUAAACUAUUUUACUGUGCGUUGCAUGUGCAUGUUUACUAGUAUUGGUGUUAAACCUAAUGUAUUCCAACUUUAUAUGGAUUAUAAACUAUUUUACUAGCCAUAGAUUCAUCAAAAUAAGCAAACAACACAUGCAAAAUAGAA
rnacentral:lncRNA from 1 species